GCCCCGGUAGCUCAGCUGGAUAGAGCAGCUGACUUCUAAUCAGCAGGUCGAUGGUUCGAAUCCAUCCCGGGGUG
rnacentral:tRNA from 3 species